rnacentral:rRNA from 1 species
UACGUAGGGUGCGAGCGUUGUCCGGAAUUACUGGGCGUAAAGGGCUCGUAGGCGGCCAACUAAGUCAGACGUGAAAUCCCUCGGCUUAACCGGGGAACUGCGUCUGAUACUGGAUGGCUAGAGUUUGGGAGAGGGAUGCGGAAUUCCAGGUGUAGCGGUGAAAUGCGUAGAUAUCUGGAGGAACACCGGUGGCGAAGGCGGCAUCCUGGACCAACACUGACGCUGAGGAGCGAAAGCCAGGGGAGCAAACGGG